GGGAUAGUCUGGAUUCGACAGGCAUAAGGACAUAUAAAUAGCAUGUUAUGGUAAUCGCAUAUAAAAACGAUCUAGGUAUUAAAUUAACCGCAGAACAAAAUAAUUUACAACUUGCUUUUGCGUAAAGCAAGGCUCUUUAGUUGUAGUUAGCCUUAAGCUAAACUAAAGGGUUCAAGAAUUUAAGGAUAGAACAUUUAGGCUUUCUUCGGCCUUUGUGUUUGAAACUUUAGAAGAUGGUUUAACUUACUUUGUUUAUUUCGUAAGUUAGGCAAGACACAAAAAUAAACUAAGCAUGUAGAGGUUUGUGUGAAAUUGUGUUUGGACGGGGGUUCAAAUCCCCCCUAUUCCACCA
rnacentral:tmRNA from 1 species